AAAAGUUAUUAAGGUAAUUUUCUGUUUAAUAGAGCAGAUUGGAGAUUUGUUUAAUGAUGAAUUAGUUGAAUAUACAUUUCCAAGAAAAGAAAAUGUUGAAAUGAUUAAAAUUAAAUAAAAAUCUACAAGUUGCAUUAAUUUCAUUGUAAGUAGCAAUUAAAGAUUGAGUUGCAUUUUAUAGGAAGAAGUGAAGUAGCAGUUAAUUAAAUUUGGAAGUAAAAAAAAUGCCAUGAGCUAAUUACUAAGAUGGGUCCAUAGCUAAAUUUCUGUUCUUGAUUUUGAUCAUGGCGGCCAUGGAUAAGCUUCAGAUUGCGAUACAAGAAGCAGAGGUUCUUUACACAGUGAGCAACUGGUGUUUCUACUCUACCUUCGAACUUUUAACGGAAAGCUUGACGCUGAUGCGCUGCGACCGGAGAAGCUGGAAGAGAAGAAACAAGAGUUGGCAAGGGAGAGAGCAAGGGCUGCAAAUCGAGAUAUCAAGGUUGUGCUAGAGAGGUGGAGUUUGAGGUUAUGGCGCAACUAGGAAGAAUCUUGUCGAAAAGUAUGAAGGGAUUGAAGAAGGGGAAUGUUAAAGGAGGAGGAGGGGUUUGUCAAGAGGAGAUGGAUAUGGUAGAGGAAGGUAGAGCUGAAGAGCCAUGGAGUGUAUGCAUAGGUAACAUGUGGUACAGUGGCUGAAGAGGAAGAAGAAGAUUUGUCCUUUGUGCCGACACAAGAUGCAAAUCCGGGAGGACAUUUGAUUUUGAUGAUUUUUAAAUUAAGUUCA
rnacentral:misc_RNA from 1 species